AUUGAACGCUGGCGGCAUGCCUUACACAUGCAAGUCGAACGGCAGCACGGGAGCAAUCCUGGUGGCGAGUGGCGAACGGGUGAGUAAUGUAUCGGAACGUACCUUUCAGUGGGGGAUAACGUAGCGAAAGUUACGCUAAUACCGCAUAUUCUGUGAGCAGGAAAGCAGGGGAUCGCAAGACCUUGCGCUGAUUGAGCGGCCGAUAUCAGAUUAGCUAGUUGGUGAGGUAAAGGCUCAUCAAGGCGACGAUCUGUAGCGGGUCUGAGAGGAUGAUCCGCCACACUGGAACUGAGACACGGUCCAGACUCCUACGGGAGGCAGCAGUGGGGAAUUUUGGACAAUGGGCGCAAGCCUGAUCCAGCCAUGCCGCGUGAGUGAAGAAGGCCUCGGUUGUAAGCGUCUUCUAGUCCGGAGAAACGACGAUGGUUAAGUACCGUACGUCGUGGUAGUGACGGUACCGGAACGUAA
rnacentral:rRNA from 1 species